GCCCGGCUAGCUCAGUUGGUAGAGCAUGAGACUUUUAAUCUCAGGGUCGUGGGUUCAAAGUCCCACGUUGGGCG